UCUGACUGCAGAGAGGAGGACAGAGGACAGUGGACACACAGCUCAACAUGAUGGACUAUAGGACAGGACUGCUGCUUUUAACCAUCUGCUGCUGGACAGGUGUUGAUGGUCAGACUCUGACAGAAUCUGAACCAGUGAUUAAAAGACCUGGAGAAUCCCACAGACUGACCUGUACAGCCUCUGGGGUUGAUUUUAGUAGCUACUGGAUGGCCUGGAUCAGACAGGCUCCUGGAAAAGGACUGGAGUGGAUUGCGAUUAUCGAAUAUGACAGUGAUAGCAAAUACUACUCUCAGUCAGUUCAGGGCCGGUUCACCGUCUCCAGAGACAACGACAGAGAGCAGCUGUAUCUGCAGAUGAACAGUCUGAGGACUGAAGACUCUGCUGUUUAUUAUUGUGCUCGAGAGCCACAGUGACUGGAGUUGGUUGAGCAGCUGUACAAAAUCCUACAGGACUCAUUCUGACUCGGCUGGUUGAAGAAAAGCAUGAAGUAUUCUUUGCAUUUUUUAUAUAUUUAUGUUUUUAAUGUUUACAUGAUACAGUUUGCUAUAUAUAUAUUUUUAAAUAAUAAAUUAAUCUUUGUCCUAGCAUUAUGCACACUCCUUAAAACUUCCCAUUACUGAUAACAGUAUUUAACUUUAUUGUUUACAAAGUGAAUUUAUUUGACUCCUACCUAUAUCACGUAUGGAGGUUAAUACUUUAUUUAGAAUGUUUUUUCAUCUUUAAGAAUGUAAAAUAAUAAAGUCAUUAAAUAAUUACUGUUGUGUUUAAACUGUCUAACAGAUGUGGAGAGUGAAGUGAAUCAUGAAUCUGAUAAUUGUUUGAAAUUAUAUACAUAGUACACACAUUAUACAAUAUAUUUAAGCAAUACAAAUUAAAAGCUGAGUUAUUAGUUCAUUUGGAUAAACUUUAGUCAGCUGAUAUCAUCAGUAUGUAAAUCAGCCUCCUUUUGUGUUGCCUCAUAAAGAAGUGAAGAUGGUGACGAAUGAAAACAAGAU